rnacentral:rRNA from 1 species
GACGAACGCUGGCGGCGUGCUUAACACAUGCAAGUCGAACGGAAAGGCCCUGCUUUUGUGGGGUGCUCGAGUGGCGAACGGGGGAGUAACACGUGAGUAACCUGCCCUUGACUUUGGGAUAACUUCAGGAAACUGGGGCUAAUACCGGAUAGGAGCUCCUGCUGCAUGGUGGGGGUUGGAAAGUUUCGGCGGUGGGGGAUGGACUCGCGGCUUAUCAGCUUGUUGGUGGGGUAGUGGCUUACCAAGGCUUUGACGGGUAGCCGGCCUGAGAGGGUGACCGGCCACAUUGGGACUGCGAUACGGCCCAGACUCCUACGGGAGGCAGCAGUGGGGAAUAUUGCACAAUGGGCGGAAGCCUGAUGCAGCAACGCCGCGUGCGGGAUGACGGCCUUCGGGUUGUAAACCGCUUUCGCCUGUGACGAAGCGUGAGUGACGGUAAUGGGUAAAGAAGCACCGGCUAACUACGUG